rnacentral:tRNA from 1 species
GUAAAUAUAGUUUAAAAAAAACAUUAGAUUGUGAAUCUGAUAAUAGGAGCUUAUAUCUCCUUAUUUGCC